GAUGAAGAACGUAGCGAAAUGCGAUAAGUAGUGUGAAUUGCAGAAUUCAGUGAAUCAUCGAAUCUUUGAACGCACAUUGCGCCCUUUGGUAUUCCUUAGGGCAUGCCUGUUCGAGCGUCAUUUAAACCUUCAAGCUAAGCUUGGUGUUGGGUGACUGUCCGCCUCACGGCGGACUCGCCUCAAAAUUAUUGGCGGCCGGUACAUUGGCUUCGAGCGCAGCAGAAACGCGAACUCGGGCCCGUCGUAUUGGCUCCCAGAAGCUAUCUUCACAAUUUUGACCUCGGAUCAGGUAGGGAUACCCGCUGAACUUAAGCAUAUCAAUAGCGGAGGA
rnacentral:misc_RNA from 1 species